GAUGAACGCUGGCGGCGUGCCUAACACAUGCAAGUCGAACGAAGCACCUUACCUGAUUCUUCGGAUGAAAGUUUGGUGACUGAGUGGCGGACGGGUGAGUAACGCGUGGGUAACCUGCCCUGUACAGGGGGAUAACAGCUGGAAACGGCUGCUAAUACCGCAUAAGCGCACGAGGAGACAUCUCCUUGUGUGAAAAACUCCGGUGGUACAGGAUGGGCCCGCGUCUGAUUAGCUGGUUGGCAGGGUAACGGCCUACCAAGGCAACGAUCAGUAGCCGGUCUGAGAGGAUGAACGGCCACAUUGGAACUGAGACACGGUCCAAACUCCUACGGGAGGCAGCAGUGGGGAAUAUUGCACAAUGGGGGAAACCCUGAUGCAGCAACGCCGCGUGAGUGAAGAAGUAUUUCGGUAUGUAAAGCUCUAUCAGCAGGGAAGAUAAUGACGGUACCUGACUAAGAAGCUCCGGCUAAAUCCGUG
rnacentral:rRNA from 1 species